UACGUAGGGUGCAAGCGUUGUCCGGAAUUAUUGGGCGUAAAGAGCUCGUAGGCGGUCUGUCGCGUCGGCUGUGAAAUCCCGAGGCUCAACCUCGGGUCUGCAGUCGAUACGGGCAAACUGGAGUGUUGCAGGGGAGACUGGAAUUCCUGGUGUAGCGGUGAAAUGCGCAGAUAUCAGGAGGAACACCGGUGGCGAAGGCGGCUACCUGGACCGGUUCUGACGCUGAUGCGCGAAAGCGUGGGUAGCAAACAGG
rnacentral:rRNA from 1 species